rnacentral:rRNA from 1 species
AUGGAGCUCGGUGCUCUUAGUGCUUGCCUUGCUGCAGUUGUCUGUUCAUCUGAACAACCACCUCUCCGUCCUCUUGGUAGCUCUGCUGGUGACGGGGCUUCUCUUAUUAUCAAGUCAGUACUGGACCGAGCAACUGAGUUGCUGACUGAUCAGCGUGCCGUAUCCAGCUAUACCCCGUCAAACCGAGCUCUCUGGCAGGCAUCGUUUGAUGCUUUCUUUGGGCUUCUGACAAAAUACUGCCUCAGUAAGUAUGAAAGUAUUCUGCAGAUGUUUGUGAUGCAGGCAUCAGGCUCUGUGAUUGGAUCUGAAGCCUCCCAAGCAACUAGCAGGGAGAUGCCAGUUGAGUUGCUACGUGCAAGCCUUCCUCACACAAACGAGCAGCAACGGCAGAUGCUGCUCGAUUUCGCUCAGAGAACCACGCCAGCCAGCAGUUUUACCCCCCCUGGUGCUAGCGGUGGACACAUCACUUCUGAAUCGGUUCCUGGUUGA